GCGCCGAUGGUGUAAGGCGAACAUGCUUCCCGGAAAGUAGAUGAGGGUUCGAGUCCCGCCUGGCGCA
rnacentral:tRNA from 1 species